rnacentral:rRNA from 1 species
UAGGGAAUCUUCGGCAAUGGGGGCAACCCUGACCGAGCAACGCCGCGUGAGUGAAGAAGGUUUUCGGAUCGUAAAGCUCUGUUGUAAGUCAAGAACGGGUGUGAGAGUGGAAAGUUCACACUGUGACGGUAGCUUACCAGAAAGGGACGGCUAACUACGUGCCAGCAGCCGCGGUAAUACGUAGGUCCCGAUCGUUGUCCGGAUUUAUUGGGCGUAAAGCGAGCGCAGGCGGUUUGAUAAGUCUGAAGUUAAAGGCUGUGGCUCAACCAUAGUUCGCUUUGGAAACUGUCAAACUUGAGUGCAGAAGGGGAGAGUGGAAUUCCAUGUGUAGCGGUGAAAUGCGUAGAUAUAUGGAGGAACACCGGUGGCGAAAGCGGCUCUCUGGUCUGUAACUGACGCUGAGGCUCGAAAGCGUGGGGAGCGAACAGG